rnacentral:rRNA from 1 species
AUUGAACGCUGGCGGCAGGCCUAACACAUGCAAGUCGAGCGGAGCGGCGGACGGGUGAGUAAUGCCUAGGAAUCUGCCUGGUCGUGGGGGAUAACGUCCGGAAACGGGCGCUAAUACCGCAUACUUUCAGUAGAGCCUAGGUCGGAUUAGCUAGUUGGUGGGGUAAAGGCCUACCAAGGCGACGAUCCGUAACUGUUCUGAGAGGAUGAUCAGUCAGACUGGAGCUGAGACACGGUCCAGACUCCGACGGGAGGCAGCAGUGGGGAAUGUUGGACAAUGGGCGAAAGCCUGAUCCAGCCAUGCCGCGUGUGUGAAGAAGGUCUUCGGAUUGUAAAGCACUUUAAGUUGGGAGGCGGUACCAACAGAAGAAGCACCGGCUAACUUCGUGCCAGCAGCCGCGGUAAUUC